CUUCUGUAAGGUCGAGGUACUACCCCAGUCGGACUGCUCCAUAUUUUGAGCAGGAUAUUUCUUGCUGUGCCCUACCUCAAUAACUACUAAGUAUGGUCAUAAAAUUUUAUUAUUUCCAUCCAGACCAUAAAAAGUUAUAGUGUGUAAUGUUCUUAACUACAAUAUCUGCAGGUAAGCGCAUCAUCUCACUACAUGUGGAACGAAUAUCAGUUUAAGUAGAUCAACGUGGCAAAUAUUAGCAC
rnacentral:misc_RNA from 1 species